CCGCUGGAUCUCCGGUCCUAAUUUGGAACCGCCAAGCGAUAUGGGCAAAAGCAUACUUAUAAUUAGCUCAUGGUCAGUUAUUGCGCAGUUUUAUUUCAUCGUGCCCGAAUUUGGGGUGGGAACACACCCUCAUUCGCCCUCAUGUAUGUACCUAGCGCAUUCGGCACGAAAACCAAAUCAACGCCAACCUUCCGUCUUCUCCCUCAAAGACCAAACCUCUCGGUGUCAGAAAACAAACAAAUCUCCUCUGUUACGCUUCAUCGGUGCCGAAUGGUGGACGAUAUCUUGCUGAAGGCGUGUGUGUCGUCUUGAACAGCUGAUCGACAGUGGUUGCUGCAGUGUGUGCGUCUUAUGGAUAACAUUCCCUCUGCAAGGUUGGUCGCGCUCGACAUUGGAAGGCUUCAUUUGCAGUGUUACUGCGGUUACCUAGGUCCUGGAGGAGUAACACUUCAUGUGUACAGUGAAUGAUGUAACCUAAUGAGCCAGAGUGCAACGUUCGGUUGUGUACAUGUAUCACUUAAAUUGGAUUGGAGAGGUACCUUCUCUGCUCUCGAAAUAAAGUUGUUGUUUAGCAGUAA